rnacentral:piRNA from 1 species
UGUGUCUAAAACAUACCUAGG